ACGAACGCUGGCGGCGUGCUUAACACAUGCAAGUCGCACGGAAAGGCCCUGCUUUUGUGGGGUGCUCGAGUGGCGAACGGGUGAGUAACACGUGAGUAACCUGCCCUUGACUUUGGGAUAACUUCAGGAAACUGGGGCUAAUACUGGAUAGGAGCUCCUGCUGCAUGGUGGGGGUUGGAAAGUUUCGGCGGUUGGGGAUGGACUCGCGGCUUAUCAGCUUGUUGGUGGGGUAGUGGCUUACCAAGGCUUUGACGGGUAGCCGGCCUGAGAGGGUGACCGGCCACAUUGGGACUGAGAUACGGCCCAGACUCCUACGGGAGGCAGCAGUGGGGAAUAUUGCACAAUGGGCGGAAGCCUGAUGCAGCAACGCCGCGUGCGGGAUGACGGCCUUCGGGUUGUAAACCGCUUUCGCCUGUGACGAAGCGUGAGUGACGGUAAUGGGUAAAGAAGCACCGGCUAACUACGUG
rnacentral:rRNA from 1 species